rnacentral:rRNA from 1 species
CGUAGGGCGCAAGCGUUGUCCGGAAUUAUUGGGCGUAAAGAGCUCGUAGGCGGCUUGUCACGUCGGAUGUGAAAGCCCGGGGCUUAACCCCGGGUCUGCAUUCGAUACGGGCUAGCUAGAGUGUGGUAGGGGAGAUCGGAAUUCCUGGUGUAGCGGUGAAAUGCGCAGAUAUCAGGAGGAACACCGGUGGCGAAGGCGGAUCUCUGGGCCAUUACUGACGCUGAGGAGCGAAAGCGUGGGGAGCGAACAGGAUUAGAUACCCUGGUAGUCCACGCCGUAAACGUUGGGAACUAGGUGUUGGCGACAUUCCACGUCGUCGGUGCCGCAGCUAACGCAUUAAGUCCCCCGCCUGGGGAGUACGGCCGCAAGGCUA